UAUGUGCUUAAUUACAAAAAAUUCUGUAUUAUCAAACGUGCGCAAGCCAAUCGUACGCACAUCAGUAAGUAAUCAAUCUUGAUGAAUCCCAUCUGUUCUUAACGACCAUGCUCAUUCACGAUUAGGCCAUUUGCAUUAAGAAACGCCUCCAAUUAACCAUAUAUGGUAACAACACUUCUUCCUUUUGGGGAAGCGGUACCUACUUUGAAGCCACUCUGUGCCCUCGCCAAGCAGAUCAGCGCAAUCUUUGAGCGCAUUGUUUGCCAAGUCUUCCCAUAACUCAAGAUAAGCCAAUGCACUAUAUUUCUAACAUUUGUCACAGCUGUCUUUUAUAGGGUUUGAUACCAAUUAGGCAACUUUACAGUUUAAAACUAGACAAAUGACUAAUUGAGAGUUUUCUAA